AACCAUUUCAUUUCCUUUUGUUUUUUUCCUUCCAUCUGCUGAGCUGAAAAAGAUCUGGAUCACUCCCUCCCUCUGUCUCUCUCUUUCAAUUCUCCUUUGCUUGGCGAGCCUCGCCGAUCGCCAUGGACGCCAGCAAGCUUCUGUCCGGUUCAACGGUAGUGUUUCGCAGUCACUCCCUCAAGUUCGUUAAGUUGCUAGCUCCAGCUCCGGUUUCUUGACACCUCCUUCUUUGAAGACGUCGUCCUCGUUCACGGCGACUUCGUCUUUGACCCUGCCCCGGAGAAAACCUCCAGUGUCUGUCGUGCGGCGGAGGUUAGCGCUGAAAUGCGGCGCUGUUGCUGGAGGUAUAACCGAAAUCGAUGAGAGCCAGUUCGCUGAUACGGUGUUGAAAAGCAACCGGCCUGUGCUGGUGGAGUUCGUGGCCGACUGGUGUGGUCCUUGCCGCUUAAUCUCUCCCGCUAUUGAGUGGGUGGCUCAGGAAAUCGAGGAUUCUGAAGGUUCAAUCCAGUGAGCUACCUUUCUGGAAGUUGUCGAUAAGCUUCCGAUUGCUCGGAGGAAUCACUUUUUGAUAUCGGGGAUCAGCUUGGAGGACUAGGAAAAGUUCUAUCGAAAAUUCGGGUCGUGACAGAACUUCAGUACCAUUGCUGAUUCUUUAACAUAAAUCAUCAAGAAGGAUGUUGGGUUCAAGUGGGGAGAAGAGCAAGAGAAGGCUUUCAAUACAUUAAAAGAAAAGCUAAGUUCAGCUCCAUUGCUACUUUUACCAUAUUUCUCUAAACUUUUUGAAAUCGAAUGUGAUGCUUCUGGAAUUGGUGUAGGUGUUGUACUUAUGCAAGACCGGAGGCCCAUUGCCUAUUUCAGUGAGAAGCUUAAAGGGGCCGCUUUGAACUACUCUACCUACGACAAGGAGUUAUAUGCGUUGGUGAGAGCACUGGAUACGUGGCAACACUACUUGUGGUCUAAGGAGUUCAUCAUUCACACAGACCAUGAAUCACUGAAGCACUUGAAAGGCCAAGGUAAGUUGAAUCGCAGACAUGCACGUUGAAUUGAGUUCAUUGAGAUGUUCCCAUAUGUGAUCCAAUACAAGCAAGGUAAGGAGAAUGUGGUAGCCGAUGCCUUAUCUCGCAGGUAUGCCCUUGUUUCAACUCUUGGAGCUAAGUUUCUUGGGUUAGAGCAUUUUAAGGAGUUGUAUGAGCAUGAUCCUGAUUUUGCUGCUAUGUUUGCUGCCUGUGAAAAGGGAGUGUUUGAUAAGUUUCAUAGGCAUGAGGGGUAUUUAUUUCGUGAAAAUAGGCUAUGUAUUCCAAAGAGUUCCAUGCGUGAAUUACU